GACGAACGCUGGCGGCGUGCCUAAUACAUGCAAGUCGAACGAGUGGCGGACGGGUGAGUAACACGUGGGAACCUACCCAUCAGAGGGGGAUAACACUUGGAAACGGUAGCUAAUACCGCAUACCAUCGGAUGUGCCCAGAUGGGAUUAGCUUGUAGGUGAGGUAACGGCUCACACAGGCGACGCUCCCUAGCUGGUCUGAGAGGAUGACCAGCGACACUGGAACUGAGACACGGGCCAGAUCCCUACGGGAGGCAGCAGUGGGGAAUAUUGCACAAUGGGCGAAAGCCGGAUGCAGCCAUGCCGCGUGUAUGAAGAAGGCCGUCGGGUUGUAAAGUACUUUCAGCGGGGAGGCGUUACCCGCAGAAGAAGCACCGGCUAACUCCGUGCCAGCAGCCGCGGUAAUAC
rnacentral:rRNA from 1 species